rnacentral:rRNA from 1 species
AGCUUGCUACAUGACCUAGCGGCGGACGGGUGAGUAAUGCUUAGGAAUCUGCCUAUUAGUGGGGGACAACGUUCCGAAAGGAGCGCUAAUACCGCAUACGCCCUACGGGGGAAAGCAGGGGAUCUUCGGACCUUGCGCUAAUAGAUGAGCCUAAGUCGGAUUAGCUAGUUGGUAGGGUAAAGGCCUACCAAGGCGACGAUCUGUAGCGGGUUUGAGAGGAUGAUCCGCCACACUGGGACUGAGACACGGCCCAGACUCCUACGGGAGGCAGCAGUGGGGAAUAUUGGACAAUGGGCGCAAGCCUGAUCCAGCCAUGCCGCGUGUGUGAAGAAGGCCUUAUGGUUGUAAAGCACUUUAAGCGAGGAGGAGGCUUACCUAGAUAAUACCUAGGAUAAGUGGACGUUACUCGCAGAAUAAGCACCGGCUAACUCUGUGCCAGCAGCCGCGGUAAUACAGAGGGUGCAAGCGUUAAUCGGAAUUACUGGGCGUAAAGCGCGCGUAGGUGGCCAUUUAAGUCAAAUGUGAAAUCCCCGAGCUUAACUUGGGAAUUGCAUUCGAUACUGGGUGGCUAGAGUAUAGGAGAGGAAGGUAGAAUUCCAGGUGUAGCGGUGAAAUGCGUAGAGAUCUGGAGGAAUACCGAUGGCGAAGGCAGCCUUCUGGCCUAAUACUGACACUGAGGUGCGAAAGCAUGGGGAGCAAACAGGAUUAGAUACCCUGGUAGUCCAUGCCGUAAACGAUGUCUACUAGCCGUUGGGUCCUUUGAGGACUUAGUGGCGCAGCUAACGCGAUAAGUAGACCGCCUGGGGAGUACGGUCGCAAGACUAAAACUCAAAUGAAUUGACGGGGGCCCGCACAAGCGGUGGAGCAUGUGGUUUAAUUCGAUGCAACGCGAAGAAACCUUACCU